UAAAAUAAAGAAAUGAUGGCUGGGCAUGGUGGCUCAUGCCUGUAAUCCCAGCACUUUGAGAGGCCGAUGUGGGUGGAUCACUUGAGGUCAGGAGUUCGAGACCAGCCUGGCCAACAUGGGGAAACCCCGUCUCUACUAAAAAUUAGCUGAGUGCACGCCUGUAAUCCCAGCUUCUUGGGAGGCUGAGAUGGGAAUCACUUGAACCUGGGAGGCAGAGGUUGCAGUGAGCCGAUAUCGUGCCACUGCACUCCAGCCUGGAGGACAGAGCGAGACUCUGUCUCAAAAAAAACAUGUCAGGAUAGCAGCUUGUGGGGGUGAAGCACGAGAGCAACAUCCUAAUCAAGUUUGGCAUCUUCCCCUUUCUUCUCCCUGCCCCUAGGGUGUUCAUCCUGCAUUCCUGGGGGCUCAGUACCCUUAUUCAGUGACUCCUCCCUCACUUGCUGCCACUGCUGUGUCUUUCCCCGUUCCUUCCAUGGCACCCAUCACAGUACAUCCCUACCACACAGAGCCAGGGCUUCCACUGCCCACCAGUGUGGCCUUGAGCAGUGUCCAUCCAGCAUCCACGUUUCCAGCCAUCCAAGGUGCCUCACUGCCUGCCCUGACCACACAGCCCAGCCCUCUGGUGAGCGGAGGUUUUCCACCGCCCGAGGAGGAGACACACAGUCAGCCAGUCAAUCCCCACAGCCUGCACCACCUGCAUGCUGCCUACCGUGUCGGAAUGCUGGCACUGGAGAUGCUGGGUCGCCGGGCACACAACGAUCACCCCAACAACUUCUCCCGCUCCCCCCCCUACACUGAUGAUGUCAAAUGGUUGCUGGGGCUGGCAGCAAAGCUGGGUAACACCUCCCCUCCCUAGGACCAUUGCCCCCCCCCACCUGCUCUCCCCACCUUCCUUAUCCCAGACCUCCUUCCUAGCUCUUGCUCAGAGUUGAGGCCUUGGUCGGGUAUGUGUGCGUGCGCGGGGGGCGGA
rnacentral:sRNA from 1 species